GACAGAGGUUGCAAACGUUGUUCGGAAUUACUGGGCAUAAAGCGCACGUAGGCGGUCCGCUAAGUCAGGUGUGAAAUCCCCCGGCUCAACCGGGGAAUUGCGUCUGAUACUGGCGGGCUCGAGAUCGGUAGGGGUGAGCGGAACUCCAGGUGGAGCGGUGAAAUGCGUCGAUAUCUGGAGGAACACCGGUGGCGAAAGCGGCUCACUGGAUCGACACUGACGCUGAGGUGCGAAAGCUAGGGUAGCAAACGGG
rnacentral:rRNA from 1 species